UACGAAGGGGGCUAGCGUUGUUCGGAUUUACUGGGCGUAAAGCGCACGUAGGCGGAUCGUUAAGUCGGGGGUGAAAUCCUGGAGCUCAACUCCAGAACUGCCUUUAAUACUGCCAGUCUCGAGUCCGGAAGAGGUAAGUGGAACUCCUAGUGUAGAGGUGGAAUUCGUAGAUAUUAGGAAGAACACCAGUGGCGAAGGCGG
rnacentral:rRNA from 1 species